rnacentral:rRNA from 1 species
UCUGGGAUUAGAUACCCCACUAUACCUUUUCAAAAUCCACAAAACACCAGAGUAGUAUAAUUUUCCCAAUUGAAACUCAAAGAACUUGGCGGUAUUCUAAAUCUUUUUGGAGGAGCUUGUUAUCAAAUCGAUAACCCACGAGAUACCUCACCAAUCUUAGAAAACAGUUUGUAUACCAUCGUCGCCAGCUUACUUUAAAGAACGUAAGCUUAAUGGAAUAACCCUAAACGUCAGAUCAAGGUGCAACCAAUAGAUUGGGGAUCAAUGAGCUACCCUACUUUACAACUGAGGAUUAAAAAUUAAAAUUUUAAAGAAAAAGGAUUCAACAGUAAUUAAUUAAAGAAAUAAAAAAUGAAACAAGCCCUAGAAUGCGCACACACCGCCCGUCACCCUCCUCAA